UGGGGAAUAUUGGACAAUGGGCGAAAGCCUGAUCCAGCCAUGCCGCGUGUGUGAAGAAGGUCUUCGGAUUGUAAAGCACUUUAAGUUGGGAGGAAGGGCAGUAGGUUAAUACCUUGCUGUUUUGACGUUACCAACAGAAUAAGCACCGGCUAACUUCGUGCCAGCAGCCGCGGUAAUACGAAGGGUGCAAGCGUUAAUCGGAAUUACUGGGCGUAAAGCGCGCGUAGGUGGUUCGUUAAGUUGGAUGUGAAAUCCCCGGGCUCAACCUGGGAACUGCAUCCAAAACUGGCGAGCUAGAGUACGGUAGAGGGUGGUGGAAUUUCCUGUGUAGCGGUGAAAUGCGUAGAUAUAGGAAGGAACACCAGUGGCGAAGGCGACCACCUGGACUGAUACUGACACUGAGGUGCGAAAGCGUGGGGAGCAAACA
rnacentral:rRNA from 1 species